rnacentral:rRNA from 1 species
UGCUCAGGACGAACGCUGGCGGCGUGCCUAAUACAUGCAAGUCGAACGCUUCUUUUUCCACCGGAGCUUGCUCCACCGGAAAAAGAGGAGUGGCGAACGGGUGAGUAACACGUGGGUAACCUGCCCAUCAGAAGGGGAUAACACUUGGAAACAGGUGCUAAUACCGUAUAACAAUCGAAACCGCAUGGUUUUGAUUUGAAAGGCGCUUUCGGGUGUCGCUGAUGGAUGGACCCGCGGUGCAUUAGCUAGUUGGUGAGGUAACGGCUCACCAAGGCCACGAUGCAUAGCCGACCUGAGAGGGUGAUCGGCCACAUUGGGACUGAGACACGGCCCAAACUCCUACGGGAGGCAGCAGUAGGGAAUCUUCGGCAAUGGACGAAAGUCUGACCGAGCAACGCCGCGUGAGUGAAGAAGGUUUUCGGAUCGUAAAACUCUGUUGUUAGAGAAGAACAAGGAUGAGAGUAACUGUUCAUCCCUUGACGGUAUCUAACCAGAAAGCCACGGCUAACUC